rnacentral:misc_RNA from 1 species
UGGCGGCUCUGCUCCCAAGUCUGCAUCUUUCUCUCUUCAGUCGGAUCUCAAAGGUAUCCAUAAACCGAUCCAUCUUCUUCUUCUUCAACGAUUCAAUCCAAAUCCCUAAUUUUCUCUGCAAAUCUAUACGUAUAGUAUAUCUGUAUCUAUCCAUUUUCCCCUUAAUUAAGCACCUUUGAGUUGUCACUAUCAAUUAUGGCUUCUUCUCCUGGUAAUCCGAACCAGCCAGGUGGUACUGGUUCAGGACCAUUUGAUAUACACAAAUUCUUCAAACCCUCAACCCCAACAAACCCUAAUCCCCAAAACCCUAUAAUUUCAUCCCAUUAUCCAUCUCCAAACGCUUCAUACCCACCACCCACCCCCGGAGCCGG